rnacentral:lncRNA from 1 species
UCCCAUAAGUUCAGCAUUAGGUUGGAAGGUGUAUUGUUUGUGUUCUGAUACAAGAAUAUGGAGAAGAAAUAUUAUUAUAGACAAUGGUGGCAACAGGAUUCAGAUACUGGGAUGUUAUGUUAAACUGCCAGCUCCAGUCCAGGUUAGUGAUUUAGGAACUUUAUAUUGUAGUCAUAGGCAUGCAUUUUCAAAUAGUUCCUGCAAAGUUUUUGUAUUUUACAACUGCUAUCCACCUCAGAAUAAAGGACAAGGUUUUAACAAUAAACAACUAGAGGUCACUUAACGUCCUUCAACAAUGGGCAAAACCUAUAUCCUGUCUAAUAGUAAUUUUUGAAUUGCCCUCAAUUUACAUAUGUACAACAAUUCAAAUGGGAAAACCAACAGCCUCAUUUAUGCUAAAAACUAUUAAAAAAAUAAAUAUGGUAGACGACAACCAAUGAGAUCCACUGAAAUAUAGACUCCUGACUUUAGACAGACACAUACAUGUAAAAAAUAUUUUGAUGAUAUCAUAUGUAUCUUUUGAAGUCCACAAAGUAGUUUUUAUUUCAAAAGCAUAAUUUAGUGUUACUAUCCAGGAUAGAAAAAAUUGUAGGCCAGACACAGGUUUUAUCUCCCAAAGACACAUCAGCAUGAUCACUAUCAGUGAUGUUUGAACAAAAAAGGUUAAAAAGCCAAGAGCAUUCAAGUGAUUUCAUGUAGUAUAAUUGCAUCAUAGUUUGCUUUUGGUUUUGAUUUUGUUCCCUUAAUCAUAAAAAAGUUAUGCAUCGACAAAAUAUAACUAAAGAAGAAAAACAACUUUUUCAGAACAAUUAUACAAUGAGAGGUCAAUUCAGCAACACCAAAAAAAACUAUAUUUCAUUCAUGGUAUAAAGCAGUUUAAAACAGAGAAAGAAAAAAUACAAGUUUAAAACUACCAAUUUUCAAUAAAUUAAUUAAUAUUCAGUUUCAUAUAUAUGCAUGUACACAUCUUCUUAUAUCUGUAUAUAUAUCCUAUCUAUAAUGUAGGUGGUUAGUAAGAUCUUCAAGGAUGUAACUCAAUUUGUUGAAUGGCGUCCUGGAGUUGAGUCUACAAGUCCCUGUGUAAAUGGCUCAUCCAAAGAGUAUAGGAACGUGUCACAUGACCUUAUCAACAUUGUUACAGCCA